rnacentral:rRNA from 1 species
AAAGCUAUGGAGUACAUAGUGAGGUUAUCAAGGAGACAGGUGGUGCAUGGUUGUCGUCAGCUCGUGUCGUGAGAUGUUGGGUUAAGUCCCGCAACGAGCGCAACCCCUAUUGUUAGUUGCCAUCAUUCAGUUGGGCACUCUAGCGAGACUGCCGGUAAUAAACCGGAGGAAGUGGGAUGACGUCAAAUCAUCAUGCCCCUUAUGACCUGGGCUACACACGUGCUACAAUGGUUGGUACAACGAGUUGCGAGUCGGUGACGGCGAGCUAAUCUCUUAAAGCCAAUCUCAGUUCGGAUUGUAGGCUGCAACUCGCCUACAUGAAGUCGGAAUCGCUAGUAAUCGCGGACUCAGCACGCCGCGGUGAAUACGUUCCCGGGCCUU